rnacentral:rRNA from 1 species
AGUCAAGCUACUAAGGGCACAUGGGGAAUGCCUUGGCGCCAGAAGCCGAAGAAGGACGUAGCAAGACUGCGAUAAGCCCCGAUUAGCUGCCUAGCAAGCUUACUCGGGGAUUUCCGAAUGAGGGAACUCAUCUACUUCGGUAGUUGCCUUAGUCGUGAGACUGGGGCGGUAAGCAGGGGAACUGAAACAUCUAAG